GUGCCAGCAGCCGCGGUAAGACAGAGGUGCCGAGCGUUAGGCGGAAUCACUGGGCUUAAAGCGUGUGUAGGCGGAGUGCUAAGUACCUUGUGAAAUCCCACGGCUUAACCGUGGAACUGCUUGGUAUACUGGUUCUCUUGGGUCAUCUAGGGGCGAGCGGAACAAACGGUGGAGCGGUGAAAUGCGUAGAUAUCGUUUGGAACGCCAAUGGUGAAAACAGCUCGCUGGGGAUGCACCGACGCUGAGACACGAAAGCCAGGGGAGCGAACGGGAUUAGAAACCCUAGUAGUCC
rnacentral:rRNA from 1 species